AAGACUAUACUUUCAGGGAUCAUUUCUAUAGUUUUUAACUUGAGGAAUGUGUUUCUAAACUGUAUGGUCUCGCUAACCACGAUGAAGAGAUGGUGAUACUCUUUCCUGAGCGUGAAGCGAGUAUAAAACUAUGAUUUUUGAUCAUUGGUUUUUACUAUUGAUGACCGUUCACUGCUGUUUAAAAGCAGCGAAGGGAAGAGUAUGAUCGGAGUGGU